GUUAGGGUGGCAGAGCCCGGUAAUUGCAUAAAACUUAAGCUUUUAUCAUCAGAGGUUCAACUUCCUUCUCCCUAACA
ensembl:Mt_tRNA